AUCGAACAGAACACAGGCAUCGGCGGCUUCGGCCACGGCGGCGGCGGCGUCCUGGUUCCGGGCUGGAACCUUGGCGAUCUCUCUCUUUUCUACCUCUCUUCAUACCUCCAGCUACCUCUCCUAGUUCUAGAAGUUUCAAGAACUUGUAUUCCCUAGUUUCUUCUUUUCUUUUUCACCCCAAAACAAUGGUUGCUUGUAUGGUGGAUCCUUGCUAUUGAAUUGGAGGGAUUGGGUUCCUAACAAUCUGGUAUCAGAGCCGUUCGGUUCACUGGGAUUCUUGUCAUGGAGGAGUUUGGGAGGCAGCCAUGCAAGAGGGAGCAGGAAUUGGGUUGGGAAAGUUUUCAUCCAAGCAGCACCCACCAACUGUUCGAUGAAAUGUCAAGCCCAUUGGAGGUGUUUGAGGAAGACGUUCUUCUUGUCAUGAGUGAGGAGAACAUCACAUGGGAUGAAGCACUCCAUCUGUUACAAGAGGAACUGAAGGAUGCCCAAUGUAGAUUUGAUGAGAAGCUAGAUCGUUUUUUGGAGGUGUUCGGCUUGAUGGGAGACAAGAGCAAUCAAUCUGAGGAAGACAAAAGGAGCAAUGAAUCUGAGGAAUUCAGUGCCUCCAUCAAGGAGCUCACCCCCACCACCGAGGCUGCUGCAUUUCAAUCACCCCAAGCAUCACCUUCUUCAGCGCCCACCAAGUGUUCGAUAAUUUGCUUUGGCCUCGACACCAUGUCUGACCUCAACAUGGCAGCAGCAGUUGUGUGCGCCACCACUUCUCUGGCCUCCAUGGAGUUAGUGGCUGGAGGGAACGCAACCUGUGAACCCUACGUUGACACCCCUGGUCAUCCCAAGGAGACGCAUGUCAAGUGUUCGAUGGUUGGCCUUGAGGUCAAGGGUGGCACCGACCACACCAGGGUCACAUGCCAGACCAUGAUGGGUGUGCCUGACAGCGUUCUAGUACCUGAUGCAUCAUCCAAGGUCUUCUCGCCAUGGUUGAUUGUUGAAAUGGGCCUUGUUCCCUUGCUGCUCACUGUGUGUUCGAUGAAAUGUUCCAAAGACAAGAAGAAGCUGCUACUGGGGAAUGCUAAGAGAAAUUCAUGGACACCUUCUUGGGUGGGCGGAGUGAUUAGACGAUGGGAGUUGCAGCCUUUGCCAUGGCCUGGAUCCAAAUUAUAUUGGGAAGGUUUACCAUUGAUGCCCCCAUGGCCACCACCGACUCGAGUAAGCUUCCUGGCAUGUGAGACUUUUGAUAUUGGAGCUCUAGUCAUUGGAACAGUGAUUUUAACACAAGCGAUGGUUGAGAUAAAACCAUGGCCUCCACCAAGUGAAGUAAGUGGUCUUCCCUUACUUCCAAUUCAAAGGAUUGGAACAUUUCAUACUGAGAGGAAAGUUACAGACUUGCAUUGGGCUGAGUUGAAAGCUUGGUCUCUGUUUGAUGAAAAUGGUACCAGCCACAUCCUAACAGAUGAGCCGUGUGAGCUUUACUUGGGUUGUGUAAUUUUCACUGCUGGAAACACUAGGAACCUUGAAAAGCUUGAGUUUAUAAGGUGGACCAAGUGGCAACAACAACUUUUUGCAGAAAGGGAUUAUCCUAAUAGUGCUGAAGGGAAUCAAUUAAUUGCUUGGAAUUUUAAGCAGUACAUUGAUGGAGGAGUGCUUUCCUUUGUUGCUAUAAAGUUGUCAAUCCAGCCAACAAACGUUGAGCAAAUCAGUCAGUACAUUGUUCAAUAUUCAAGUAUUGGGAGAGAAUUGGAUUUCUAUCAUAAAUUGCAUACACUUGCUCAAGUUAUUGGGAGAAAGGAUUCCUUACUUCAGCUAUCUGAACCCCAGUUAACAUCAUGUAAAGUUGGACAAAAUACUGAGAAGGGUGGAUGGUGUCUUAUCAUGGACAAGAGAUGCUCAGAUUUUUUCAAGCUUCUGGCAUUGUUAGAUGGGAAAUGGGAAGCUAUCAGACAUGCAAUGGUUUAUCUUAUCACAAAGCUAAUUCACAUAUCACCAAGGAAUGCACCCUUUAGAUCAACAAUCAAUUAUCUGCUGGGAGGUAAUAAUCUUGUGGUUCUACACAAAUCAAUUGUUGGGAUCCACUUGGGAUGGUGGGUGUUUCCUUGUGACAUUGGAGUGAGACCCCUGGAAAAAUUGGUGAGGAGAUUAGCACAGUUCUGGCAACAUAAAGGACAAGCAAAGCCUUCUCUUGCAUUCCUGAACAGCAACCCAAGAACAAGCCGUGACAUGAUUUUGCACAGACCCUGGGAUCCUGGUGGUGGUAUCAAUUCCAUACUAUUUCAUUUCUAUCGGCUUGAGGGCAAGCCGAAUGUCAAGGAGAGGGGAUUGUUAGGAACCUGAUUGGGCUGUAUAUGGGCCAAGCUAGCCAAGUCCAAGCGAGGCCCAAGCAAGCAGAAGGAGCAGCAUACAAAAGCAACAGCAACAGCAUUAUUGGAAGGCAUCGAACAGAACACAGGCAUCGGCGGCUUCGGCCACGGCGGCGGCGGCGUCCUGGUUCCGGGCUGGAACCUUGGCGAUCUCUCUCUCUUCUACCUCUCUUCAUACCUCCAGCUACCUCUCCUAGUUCUAGAAGCUUCAAGAACUUGACGGUAUGGAAAAGAAGUCACAUGUCGCCCGUCGACGUUCACAUGGUACCCCUCCAACCCAGCGCUGAUAGUAAGAACAAACAAUCGGCCCUCCACAAAAGGAUAAGGCCAAUCAAAAUUCAUCUCCUUCUGUCCGAUCAGCCGGUUCAGCCAGGGGUCCCCAACCGGUCUCCUCAUCAGAGUGGGACUUCCAGCCCUCACAGCGGAGCGGGGCGCCCCACUGCAUUCGGUAGCAGGUGUUCUGCUCAAUCACCGGCCUGCUGCUCCAGUCACCGCGGAGGCGUGGGUUGAAGUGGAGGAUGUGCGGCGGGUCCUCGCCGUCGACGGUCUUUAGCCCCCGAAGCUCCAUCAUGAACUGCGACACCAUGAUCGGUUGCUCCCCCUUGCUCAGCACCGCGAUCUUAGGGUCACCCCCAGCGUCAGCCCGCACGACAACUCCACCAUGCGGCCCCUCCCAUGGAACUCGUCGGCGGAGUGCAUGACCGACUGCGGGCACUUGGUCGCCUCCUCCUCCUCGGCGGACGGCGACUCGAAGGCGGCGGUGUCGAGGUCGUCGAGUUCCGCGAACACGCGCGUGCCUGUCUCGACGGCGCCGGCAAUCGGGCAGCGGAGUGGGCCGGCGCGCGACGUGUUGAGGAGGCCAAGGUCGAGGCCAGAGACCAUCCCCGAGAGGCGCCGGCCGCGUGCGGAAGGCCCCGAGAGUGACGCGGACGCCGCCAGGCGAGGCUCCUUCGCCGAGCGCGCCGGGGCCGCCCGCACCCCGCCGCCGGCGAGCCAGGAUCGGUGGGCGUCGAGGGAGAGAAAGAGGGCGGAGUCGGCGCGGGUGGGAGGCGUGAUCUGGGCGGCGGAUGGAAGGGAGGUGCACAAGAGAGGCGCGAUUUGGAGCAGGUGCGGGUGGAUCUAGAGGAAGGUACGGAGCCCUUGGAUGUAACUCUUUGGAGCGUUGGAUGUGUGACAUGAUGAAUGAUGAAUGAGUAAAACUAUUUGUUCAACUAUAAGGUAGACUACUAGUUUUUCAUUUGCUGUAACAUCGGGCAUCUGGACAUCC
rnacentral:lncRNA from 1 species